rnacentral:rRNA from 2 species
CUUUUAUGGAGAGUUUGAUCCUGGCUCAGAGUGAACGCUGGCGGCGUGCCUAAUACAUGCAAGUCGAACGAUGAAGCUUCUAGCUUGCUAGAAGUGGAUUAGUGGCGCACGGGUGAGUAACGCAUAGGUCAUGUGCCUCUUAGUUUGGGAUAGCCAUUGGAAACGAUGAUUAAUACCAGAUACUCCCUACGGGGGAAAGAUUUAUCGCUAAGAGAUCAGCCUAUGUCCUAUCAGCUUGUUGGUAAGGUAAUGGCUUACCAAGGCUAUGACGGGUAUCCGGCCUGAGAGGGUGAACGGACACACUGGAACUGAGACACGGUCCAGACUCCUACGGGAGGCAGCAGUAGGGAAUAUUGCUCAAUGGGGGAAACCCUGAAGCAGCAACGCCGCGUGGAGGAUGAAGGUUUUAGGAUUGUAAACUCCUUUUGUUAGAGAAGAUAAUGACGGUAUCUAACGAAUAAGCACCGGCUAACUCCGUGCCAGCAGCCGCGGUAAUACGGAGGGUGCAAGCGUUACUCGGAAUCACUGGGCGUAAAGAGCGCGUAGGCGGGAUAGUCAGUCAGGUGUGAAAUCCUAUGGCUUAACCAUAGAACUGCAUUUGAAACUACUAUUCUAGAGUGUGGGAGAGGUAGGUGGAAUUCUUGGUGUAGGGGUAAAAUCCGUAGAGAUCAAGAGGAAUACUCAUUGCGAAGGCGACCUGCUGGAACAUUACUGACGCUGAUUGCGCGAAAGCGUGGGGAGCAAACAGGAUUAGAUACCCUGGUAGUCCACGCCCUAAACGAUGGAUGCUAGUUGUUGGAGGGCUUAGUCUCUCCAGUAAUGCAGCUAACGCAUUAAGCAUCCCGCCUGGGGAGUACGGUCGCAAGAUUAAAACUCAAAGGAAUAGACGGGGACCCGCACAAGCGGUGGAGCAUGUGGUUUAAUUCGAAGAUACACGAAGAACCUUACCUAGGCUUGACAUUGAGAGAAUCCGCUAGAAAUAGUGGAGUGUCUAGCUUGCUAGACCUUGAAAACAGGUGCUGCACGGCUGUCGUCAGCUCGUGUCGUGAGAUGUUGGGUUAAGUCCCGCAACGAGCGCAACCCCCUUUCUUAGUUGCUAACAGGUCAUGCUGAGAACUCUAAGGAUACUGCCUCCGUAAGGAGGAGGAAGGUGGGGACGACGUCAAGUCAUCAUGGCCCUUACGCCUAGGGCUACACACGUGCUACAAUGGGGUGCACAAAGAGAAGCAAUACUGCGAAGUGGAGCCAAUCUUCAAAACGCCUCUCAGUUCGGAUUGUAGGCUGCAACUCGCCUGCAUGAAGCUGGAAUCGCUAGUAAUCGCAAAUCAGCCAUGUUGCGGUGAAUACGUUCCCGGGUCUUGUACUCACCGCCCGUCACACCAUGGGAGUUGUGUUUGCCUUAAGUCAGGAUGCUAAAUUAGCUACUGCCCACGGCACACACAGCGACUGGGGUGAAGUCGUAACAAGGUAACCGUAGGUGAACCUGCGGUUGGAUCACCUCCUUUCU